ACCUAUGACAAGUUUCCUUGUACCAACGUGGCCUAUGAAAAGAACACCCUGGUCUCGCUUCUCACAUGGGACUUAAAAUCUCCUGAAGAGCCCAAGUUGGGCAGCUCAAGCCAAAACACAGGCACCCUUUUGGAGCCUCUCGUGAGCACUGGUCGACGUCUGGCAAUGCUCGUCGGUUGCACACAUAUUUGACAUACGUUGUGUGUCCUAGCAGCAGCAGUUGUCAAUUGAAGGUCACGUAAGCCCAGCUGCAUUGCCUCCAUUCUGCACACGGUCCAGCCCAUACGCAAGGCCCCGCAUGAUAACAAGGUUGACCACCAAAGCAGAGUGGAUGGGGGUGUCUUUGAGGAGCUUGAAUGUUGCCAGGUAGCCAUUGCUGCUCUACUCUUUGUGGAUCAGUACUACGACAGGGAUAGCACCACUGAGACGGUGCAUCAGUCGCAUCACAAGAGGCUGUUGAAUCCACAGACACGCUGUCCCUUGCAAGCUCAAGCUCCUGGAACCUGCGCAUAAUGGGGUCACUACAAGGACAGCCCAGCAGGUACUGCUGCCACCACGGCUCACUGUGACAUGAUUGCCUCGAAAGUUGUGUGAAAAGUGCACUUACAAAAGGAAUCUUUUGGAACACUUUAACUGCACGAGCUUCACCAAUCUGUAUGGCAAGAAACGUUUCUACAAAAUAUUCUGUUUAUAUCCUAAGAAGAAAAAUGGAGCCCAAAAUAACACAGCAACUCUGGCAACAUUGAGACUUUAUAUGUGCAUCAUGGAGCCAAGGAAAAUUUAGUAAUGGAUACAAUUCUUUCUUAAUGAAUAAAAAUGUAGUCUUCACUUAUUCAUA
rnacentral:lncRNA from 1 species